rnacentral:rRNA from 1 species
AUUGAACGCUGGCGGCAGGCCUAACACAUGCAAGUCGAACGAGUGGCGGACGGGUGAGUAAUGUCUGGGAAACUGCCUGAUGGAGGGGGAUAACUACUGGAAACGGUAGCUAAUACCGCAUACCAUCAGAUGUGCCCAGAUGGGAUUAGCUAGUUGGGGGGGUAACGGCUCACCAAGGCGACGAUCCCUAGCUGGUCUGAGAGGAUGACCAGCCACACUGCACCUGAGCCACGGUCCAGACUCCAACGUGAGUCAGCAGUGGGGAAAAUUGCACAAUGGGCGCAAGCCUGAUGCAGCCAUGCAGCGUGUAUGAAGAUAGCAGUCGGGUUGUAAAGUACUUUCAGCGGGGAGGCGUUACCCGCAGAAGAAGCACCGGCUAACUCCGUGCCAGCCGCCGCGGUAAUAC